rnacentral:rRNA from 1 species
AGUGAACGCUGGCGGUAGGCCUAACACAUGCAAGUCGAACGGCAGCACAGUAAGAGCUUGCUCUUACGGGUGGCGAGUGGCGGACGGGUGAGGAAUACAUCGGAAUCUACUUUUUCGUGGGGGAUAACGUAGGGAAACUUACGCUAAUACCGCAUACGACCUACGGGUGAAAGCAGGGGAUCUUCGGACCUUGCGCGAUUGAAUGAGCCGAUGUCGGAUUAGCUAGUUGGCGGGGUAAAGGCCCACCAAGGCGACGAUCCGUAGCUGGUCUGAGAGGAUGAUCAGCCACACUGGAGCUGAGACACGGUCCAGACUCCUACGGGAGGCAGCAGUGGGGAAUAUUGGACAAUGGGCGCAAGCCUGAUCCAGCCAUACCGCGUGUGUGAAGAAGGCCUUCGGGUUGUAAAGCCCUUUUGUUGGGAAAGAAAAGCAGCAGGUUAAGACCCCGCUGUUCUGACGGUACCCAAAGAAUAAGCACCGGCUAACUUCGUG